UGUAAGCGUCUACCAAAGUUGUUGCAGUUCAAACGCUCGUAGUCGGAAUUUGGCAGUUCCGGAUGUGUGCACGUCGUGUGCGCACUUCGCGGGGAUUGCUUUUGUGGUCUUGCGUAGGAUGAGGCACUUUUAUUAGUGAACGUCCUCACGCAACCACUUUUUACUGUGAGAAAAUCAGAGUGCUCAAAGCAGGCAUUUGCCGUGAAUGUAUUAGCAUGGAAUAAUAGAAUAGGACUUGGUUCUAUUUUGUUGGUUUGUUGGGACUGAGUAAUGAUUAAGAGGGACAGUUGGGGGCAUUUGUAUUUCGGUGCUAGAGGUGAAAUUCUUAGAUUACCGAAAGACAAACUGCUGCGAAAGCGUCUGCCAAGGAUGUUUUCAUUGA
rnacentral:rRNA from 1 species